AUACGUAGGGGGCGAGCGUUGUCCGGAAUGAUUGGGCGUAAAGGGCGCGUAGGCGGCCUGUUAAGUCUGGAGUGAAAGUCCUGUUUUCAAGAUGGGAAUUGCUUUGGAUACUGAUGGGCUUGAGUGCAGGAGAGGUUAUCGGAAUUCCCGGUGUAGCGGUGAAAUGCGUAGAGAUCGGGAGGAACACCAGUGGCGAAGGCGGGUAACUGGACUGCAACUGACGCUGAGGCGCGAAAGUGUGGGGAGCAAACAGGAUUAGAUACCCUGGUAGUCCACACUGUAAACGAUGAAUGCUAGGUGUAGGAGGUAUCGACCCCUUCUGUGCCGCAGUAAACACAAUAAGUAUUCCGCCUGGGGAGUACGGCCGCAAGGUUGAAACUCAAAUGAAUUGGCGGG
rnacentral:rRNA from 1 species